UGAUGGGGAGCAGCGGGCUGGACCUGGGCCCUGGCUUCUGCCUCGCCUUGCUCCCACAAGGAUUUCGGGCCUUUUUCAGGGACACGGAAAGGACAGCACGAUGGCGCCAAUUAAAAUCAGGUGACAUGAUCCUGUACAUGGAAAACCCUAAGGAACUCAUUAACGAACUAUUAGACCUAAUAAAUGAGUUCAUCAAGGUUGCAGUUUACAAGAGCAAUAUGCCAGACUCUGUUGUGCUUCGGUACAUUUGCGACGAGCAAUCCAAAACUGAAAUUAAGAAAACAAUUCUUUCACAGUCGUUUCAAAAAGAACAAAAUGCAUGCAAAUAAAUUUAUCAAAAUUAAGUGCAAAA